CUUUUGGGCUGUCGCAGAUGGAUGAGCCUGCGUUGGAUUAGCUAGUUGGUGGGGUAAGGGCCUACCAAGGCUACGAUCCAUAGCUGAUUUGAGAGGAUGAUCAGCCACAUUGGGACUGAGACACGGCCCAAACUCCUACGGGAGGCAGCAGUGAGGAAUAUUGGACAAUGGGGGCAACCCUGAUCCAGCAAUGCCAUGUGUGUGAAGAAGGCCUUAGGGUUGUAAAGCACUUUAGUUGGGGAAGAAAGCUUUGAGGUUAAUAGCCUUGAGGAAAAGGACGUUACCCAAAGAAUAAGCACCGGCUAACUCCGUGCCAGCAGCCGCGGUAAUACGGGGGGUGCAAGCGUUAAUCGGAAUUACUGGGCGUAAAGGGUCUGUAGGUGGUUUGUUAAGUCAGAUGUGAAAGCCUAGGGCUCAACCUUGGAACUGCAUUUGAUACUGGUAAACUAGAGUACGGUAGAGGAAUGGGGAAUUUCUGGUGUAGCGGUGAAAUGCGUAGAGAUCAGAAGGAACACCAAUGGCGAAGGCAACAUUCUGGACCGAUACUGACACUGAGGGACGAAAGCGUGGGGAUCAAACAGGAUUAGAUACCCUGGUAGUCCACGCUGUAAACGAUGAGUACUAGCUGUUGGAGUCGGUGUAAAGGCUCUAGUGGCGCAGCUAACGCGAUAAGUACUCCGCCUGGGGACUACGGCCGCAAGGCUAAAACUCAAAGGAAUUGACGGGGACCCGCACAAGCGGUGGAGCAUGUAGUUUAAUUCGAUGCAACGCGAAGAACCUUACCUGGUCUUGACAUCCUGCGAUCUUUCUAGAGAUAGAUUGGUGCCUUCGGGAACGCAGUGACAGGUGCUGCACGGCUGUCGUCAGCUCGUGUUGUGAAAUGUUGGGUUAAGUCCCGCAACGAGCGCAACCCCUAU
rnacentral:rRNA from 1 species